rnacentral:tRNA from 1 species
AUUAGAGUGGCAGAUUAGUGUAAUAAAUUUAGAAUUUAUUUUAAAUAGAGGUUAUCUAUUUCUAAUA